rnacentral:rRNA from 1 species
AGAGUGAACGCUGGCGGCAUGCCUAACACAUGCAAGUCGAACGGUAACAGGCCCGCAAGGGUGCUGACGAGUGGCGGACGGGUGAGGAAUACAUCGGAAUUUGCCCUGUCGUGGGGGAUAACGUAGGGAAACUUACGCUAAUACCGCAUACGACCUAACGGUGAAAGCGGGGGAUCGCAAGACCUCGCGCGGUUGGAUAAGCCGAUGUCAGAUUAGUUAGUUGGCGGGGUAAUGGCCCACCAAGACAGUGAUCUGUA